UGGUGGAAGGUAGGGUCGGGAGGCUAGCCGUCUCCUUUCCUGAAAUCGGCUAUAAGCAGGGGCCAGUAACCUCUGGGUCAAAUAGAUUGGUUAGGAUACCUACUACUUCUGUAGGGAUGAAUUCACGCCGGAGUGGGCGGUCGAAAGAAGAGGCUCUCUCGAAGGAGAGUCGCCUACUUUGAACUGUCGAAUCGGGUGAGGUCCGGGAGGGAGCAACCCUAAGGUGGGUCGGUCGCGCUAUUGCGUCUACGUGGCUGACUAUGCAGAGGUAGAGAUGGGGCUUGGCUGAACUACGAAUUCCAGAGGAGCUUCCGCCA
rnacentral:SRP_RNA from 1 species